rnacentral:rRNA from 1 species
UACGUAGGGGGCUAGCGUUGUCCGGAUUUAUUGGGCGUAAAGAGCGUGUAGGCGGCCAGGUAGGUCUGCUGUGAAAACUCGAGGCUCAACCUCGAGACGUCGGCGGAAACCAUCUGGCUAGAGUCCGGAAGAGGAGAGUGGAAUUCCUGGUGUAGCGGUGAAAUGCGCAGAUAUCAGGAGGAACACCGGUGGCGAAGGCGGGUCUCUGGGCCGAAACUGACGCUGAGGAGCGAAAGCCAGGGGAGCAAACGGG